AUUUAUAUAGUUUAAUAACAAACAUUACACUUUCACUGUAAAAAUAAAGGGAUCUUUUAUAAAUA
rnacentral:tRNA from 2 species